CACACUGAGUGUCUGUGGGUGUCGAUGUGCGACCAGGAGAGGAGAAGAAAAGGGGUCAAACCCUAGAUCACAAAAUCCAUCAAAUUGAAAGGGGAUUUAAGGGCUAAAUGAAUGCAUGAACCAAGAAAGUCGAUCACCUAAGUGUUUCUAACAUCAAUAUAGGGAUCAUGUCAAGAUGGAUGGAAGCAUAAAGGGCUAACGGGUCAUGAGGACAUGAAGAAACGAGAGCGAAUAUGGAUGCGUAAGGUAUGAAAUCGUCGGGUUCAUGAGGAAUUGAAGCCGGACUUGGAUUAAGAGUAUUUAAGAGAAUGCUUGGAUAAUUCCAUGUUUACAUUAUGGAAUGCUAUGCGAAUUUCAAUUAUAUAGUGUAAUGUUGUAUGGUGAGAUAAUGACUAAUGGUUAAGUUGUAUAUGAUGUCCACAGGUAUCACAUGAAUUUCCUCUACCACUAACGAAGAUAAGCGGGCGUAGAUCGAGUCAAAGAACAAGGAUUGUACGGAAGAAUAGUCAUACAGUUUGAAUUAUGUAUUGCCUUGAAGUAUUAAUUUAAGUAUGAAUGUUGUGAAUUCCUUUUAUAAAACGUAUGACAUUUUGUAAUUUAGCCCUCACGUAAGUAAUGUCGUUAAUAAAGAAAGAAAUUUUUAAGCUCAUAUUUCCGUUGCGUCGUUUUUAAGAUAUUACAUGUUAGGGUGUUACAAGUUGGUAUUAGAGCCCUGGUUUGAGA